rnacentral:rRNA from 1 species
UACAGAGGUCUCAAGCAUUGUUCGGAUUCAUUGGGCGUAAAGGGUGCGUAGGCGGCGCGGUAAGUCGGGUGUGAAAUCUUGGAGCUUAACUCCGAAACUGCAUUCGAUACUGCCGUGCUUGAGGACUGGAGAGGAGACUGGAAUUUACGGUGUAGCGGUGAAAUGCGCAGAUAUCGGGAGGAACACCGGCGGCGAAGGCGGCACUCUGGGCCGGUACUGACGCUGAGGAGCGAAAGCGUGGGGAGCAAACAGG